ACCCGCUGAACUUAAGCAUAUCAAUAAGCGGAGGAAAAGAAACCAACAGGGAUUGCCUCAGUAACGGCGAGUGAAGCGGCAAGAGCUCAAAUUUAAAAGCCGACGUAGCUUUAAGAGACGUCCGCAUUGUAAUUUGAAGAGGCAUUCUCGGGUCGGGGCUCAGGCCUAAGUUCCUUGGAAGAGGGCGUCGUGGAGGGUGAGAACCCCGUUCGCGGCCUGCUGUCGACCUUUCCCCGAUCCACACGAGGUGCCAUCGAAGAGUCGAGUUGUUUGGGAAUGCAGCUCAAAGCGGGUGGUAAAUUCCAUCUAAAGCUAAAUAUUGACGGGAGACCGAUAGCGAACAAGUAGAGUGAUCGAAAGAUGAAAAGCACUUUGGAAAGAGAGUUAAACAGCACGUGAAAUUGUUGAAAGGGAAGCGCUUGAGACCAGUCACGGACCGAGGCGAUCAGUGGGACGUCCCUCUCGGGGGAGGAACCGCGCACUCGCUUUUCGGGCUUUCCGGGUCAACAUCGGUUGGGACGGUGUCAGAAAGGUCGCGGGAACGUGGCUCCCUUCACGGGGAGUGUUAUAGCCCGUGGCGUCAAAGUCGCCAGUUUCGACCGAGGACCGCGCUCGUCUUUUUCGAGCAAGGAUGUUGACGUAAUGGUCCC
rnacentral:rRNA from 1 species